ensembl:lncRNA
AGCCAAUGGAUCCAUUCAGGAUGACGUAUUUAGCAGAGAGAAGAGACAAUUGAAGUAUUGUGCAUUUCAUGUUAACCUCGUGUUUCUUCAGAGAAAUGACUUUUUCGUUUCUUUCUUUGGAUUCUUAGACUCUCAGGAAAUUGACUAAAAUGACCAAGAGAGCAUGUUAAUGCAAAGUGUUUGGGCUUUUUUCAAAAGCAAUUCAGAUGGUCAGAUGAUGGGUUCAGUUUUUGCAGUUACAGACAACCAACACGACCAAGUAACAGUCUAAUUUGUCAGGUAUGGGAAAGUUAAAAAAAAUUUUAUUCUAAUUUGUUUAUAGGGGUGAGGUCUAGAAUUGGAAGGGCCUCAUAGGCAGUGAAUUUCUUAAUCUGAUGAGCAUUAAUUAUUACUGAUAAUUUACACAUAAAGGUAUCUAUAUUUCUAAUUAUCAAAAUGCAUUCAUAGUACAUGUUACUACAUGAUAACAACAAUCCUAUAAAUCUGGCAAUGCUAGCAGUUCCCAGAAACUUCUAGCCAGUAUCCUAAAAACUAAGCUGAACCAUUGGUCUAUCUGUCCCUUUGGACCUUAACACACCAUUUGCUCCUAAAACCUGCUUCCAACCUAUAAGUGACACAGAGAGUAUCUAAAUUAAGAAUCCUUCCACAGUUUUUUCCAUAACCUGGCCAAUUACCUAAAACUUUCAGCCAAAGGAAAUCUUACAUAAAACUGUUAAGUGUAUCAGUUUAACCCAAAAACAAUUUAAUGAGCAUUUUAAAUCAUUUACCAAAUGGAAGGCACUGGGCUUCAUGUUGAGGGAACUAAGAUGAAUACAAAAUAGUCCUUUUCUCAAAAAACUUUAUAGCCUAGUGAAAUAGAGACACAAAACUGUCAAUAAAAUUUCAAUAUAUAGAGGUUUGCACAGGAUGUGAUGGAGCAUAAAAGAGGAUUACUUCACAUUGGAUUUUCGAGUAUGCUUUCCGGAGAAAAGAUGUCACCGUUGAGUUUUGGAAGAUGACCAAGGGCUAACAGGAUGUGGAGAGGUGAGCAGGCGGUUGCAGCCAAGGGCUCACCUAUGCUCCACACGGCAUCAGUGGACUGGUGGUAUUCACUUCCCAGGUGACUCACUAACAGCUGGUCAACUAACGCUGGCUUCAGGCUGGGAGCUUGCCCAGGGCUCUCAGUCAGGGACCUUAGUUCCUCUCCACACGGCUGCUCAGGCUUCCUCUCAGCGUGGUGGCUGGAUUCCAAGAACUGGUUUCUUUCUUUUUUUUUUUUUCCUUUAAGA